CUACGGGGGGCAGCAGUGAGGAAUAUUGCACAAUGGGGGGAACCCUGAUGCAGCAACGCCGCGUGGAGGAUGACGCAUUUCGGUGUGUAAACUCCUUUUAUAUGUCAAGAAAAUGACGGUAGCAUAUGAAUAAGCACCGGCUAACUCCGUGCCAGCAGCCGCGGUAAUACGGAGGGUGCAAGCGUUACUCGGAAUCACUGGGCGUAAAGGACGCGUAGGCGGGUUGGAAAGUCAGGUGUGAAAUCCUACAGCUUAACUGUAGAACUGCACUUGAAACUUCUAAUCUAGAGUAUGGGAGAGGGGGAUGGAAUUAGUGGUGUAGGGGUAAAAUCCGUAGAUAUCACUAGGAAUACCUAAAGCGAAGGCGAUCUCCUGGAACAUUACUGACGCUAAGGCGUGAAAGCGUGGGGAGCAAACAGGAUUAGAUACCCCAGUAGUC
rnacentral:rRNA from 1 species